CCGCCACCUCCGCAAUCCUCUUUCGCCUGAAUCCCAAGCCCUUGCGCCCCCCGCUCGAGCUCGAACCCUAGCGCAAGGCCGCCGCCGUCGAUCUCCCUCGUCGCUGCCUUCCAGUCGACGAGAAGCGGCUCAGGAGCUAGGUAAGGAGGUGAGGAAGCUAUCCGUCCAGGUCCCGUGCGUCCGCAUGCUGUUUCUCGCUUGCUUUGGCUCGCCGGAGUUGCCGUGGCCUCGCCGGGCCGCCUCACCGGGCAUAGCGCCUUCGCCGCCGCGUAAUCGACCUCCACAACACCCUAGCUUAGUUAGCGUGCUUCCCAGCUUGAUCCAGAGCCAAAUCCCCUCGCAAACUGUGGCCGGACGCUCGUUAUAGAGCAAGUUCCGGUGAGAUCGCCGCCCGCCGCCGCCGUGCGCCGCCUGCCUCCGCCGCUCGGGCGCCGCCGCCAGCAGUCUGCCGCCGCCGGCCGUCGGAUCGUGAGCUAGCGGCCCAGAUCGAAUCCGACACGGAGUCAAACCGGUCGCGUACCGGUCAACCCAGCCGCUCCGCCGCAUUUUUGCUAAAGAGACCCCAUCUUUCUUAGUUUUUGCAACCGCCGCUAGAGCAGUUCGAAACUAAUUAGAAUUACAUCCUUUUUCUUCUGUUCUAGGCCCUGCUCUCUCGUGAAAUCGUGCCCGAAGUCCUGUUUUAGCUGUUUUGCUCGUUAGACCUUAGGUUUAUGCCCUUAAUUAUGUUUAUACCCUAAUUUUCUCGCAGACAUGCCCUGAACCUUGUUUAGCUCAUAUCUUUAGCGUUUUAAAUCCAUUUUGAAUGAUUCUUGCACCUAUGAGUUCGUGUCGACGCAAAGAACAAUUUCAUGAUCUUGCUUUUCUUUGUUGCUAUUGUUUAGUGUAUUAUUUUCUUAUUUUAUUCUGUUGUGUGCUUGAAUGUACUUGUUUGAUGCGCUUAGAAGGAUCGCAGUUCAAGGGAUUUGAAGAACAAGCCUUUGAAGACCUUGAGCAGCAGGAGCAAGUUCAGGAAGGCAAGUCGUGUCCUUGAUGACAAUUUGAGCCUAUACGCCCUUGAAUUUUAUGUUCAUUCACAUGCUAUGCACUUUUACGAUUAAACAUGAUGGGUCCUAUCUAAGGAGUGCCUAAUCUUAAUCCUUAUACCUUGUUUACCUGGAUCUUACUUUAUGUUGGGUAAGUUGCUCAACUUGGAUAUGGUGGUAUUAAUGAAGCAAUGAUUAAACUUGUUUUAUUUAUACUAUACCUUUCAUUAAUACAAGAUCACAUACUUAAUUGGAACAUGGAGUGAUCACCUAGGAAAAUAGUGCAAUCACAAGACUAACGGGCUCUAGUCUUGGCUAAUUAAUUAGAAACCUUAAUCUAUAGUAAUCUUACCGAAAGGGUGAGAGGGGCAGCAGCAGACGAGGUAUAACCCGGCCCUCAGGCUGAUCUGCUCUAUGGCAGCUUCGCAGUCCUGAGAAAGGUUUAUGCUUUGCUACUAAUUCGGAAACCUUAGUGGGUUGCUACUUAUUAGGGAAUCUUUGUGAAGGCCUCGUAGUGAAUCCCAUGCCACUCACCUCAGAAGUGUUUAAGGGAGUAAUUGACCUGGGCAUCUUGGGAAACACGACUUGUGGGUAAAAGAUGUCCAACCUCUGCAGAGUCUCUAAAACUAAUUGAUCAGCCGUGCUCACGGUCAAGAGCGGCCUGGACCCUCGCAUGAUUAAUCUAUCGGAAGUUGAACUAAAUCAUUGUUAUUUAUGUUACUUAUUGCUAUUUUAUUUAUCUAUGUUCAUGCUUAAUGUGGAUGGUAUAACUUAUACUUAGUAUUUGCUAAUAGAAUUUGAUCAACCAAUUAAAAUGCUGACAUGCUAUUAAACCUUAGCCUAUCCUUGCAUUGCCUUACACUACACAUUCCCCAUGCUUGUUAAGUACCAACCAUAAGUGUACUCACGCUUGCUAAAACCGCUGCUCAGACAAGACAAUUUUGAGGAGGUUCUUGAAGACUUUGAGGAGUUCUAGGCGUACGUGUGCCCCCACUUGACUGCCUGUGGAGUCGUCGUCAUCAUUGGAGUUCCGCUGCUAAAAUAAAGACUCAUUUGCUAUUCGAUUUAAAGACUUUCGGGCAUGUAAUAAAUUUAAUACUCUUUUUACAUUUUGACACCGUUUAUGGUAUUUACUGAAGUCAUUGCAUAUGUGAAACUUGAUUCUGGC
rnacentral:lncRNA from 1 species